rnacentral:rRNA from 1 species
CCUACGGGAGGCAGCAGUGGGGAAUAUUGCACAAUGGGGGAAACCCUGAUGCAGCGACGCCGCGUGAGUGAAGCAGUAUUUCGGUAUGUAAAGCUCUAUCAGCAGGGAAGAAAUAAAGUCCUUCGGACUUUGGACGGUACCUGACUAAGAAGCCCCGGAUAACUAAGUGCCAGCAGCCGCGGUACUACGUAGGGGGCAAGCGUUAUCCGGAUUUACUGGGUGUAAAGGGAGCGUAGACGGCAGCGCAAGUCUGGAGUGAAAUCCCAUGGCUUAACCAUGGAACUGCUUGGGAAACUGUGCAGCUGGAGUGCAGGAGAGGUAAGCGGAAUUCCUAGUGUAGCGGUGAAAUGCGGAGAUAUUAGGAGGAACACCAGUGGCGAAGGCGGCUUACUGGACUGUAACUGACGUUGAGGCUCGAAAGCGUGGGGAGCAAACAGGAUUAGAUACCCCUGUAGUC